GCCAGCGCGGCGGCCUCCGUACGGCGGGAUGGUGGCGGUGCCGCGUUCCGGGGGGCGGCGGCGGCCCGGAGCCGUCUUGCUGCGGCUGCUGGCGAUGCUGCUGCUGGCGGGCACGGCGGGCGCCGGGCAGCGCUCCAAAUGGCGGCUCCCGGUGCUCCUGGGGAAGAAGUUUAGCUUUGGGAAGAUUCUCUUCAGCAACACCACCAUUUUCCUGAGAUUUGAAGGAGAUGAAAAAGCUUGUGAAUCCUCCCAGGGUUUCAAUGUGACUUGGUACUUAAGAUACUCUGACUGCUACAAUGAAGUCUUCAACUUUGGGGAUGAACAAGCAGAUAACUAUUUUGGGACUACAGCUGAAGAGCAUCCGGGUUGGUCAGGAUACUAUGCCACUUCUUCUCUCUUCUUUUCAAACUGCUCUGAGCUCUUCAGGCCUCAGAUUUUCUAUAAAGAAUUUUUUCGUCCAAAGCCUCUCUCACCUGAGAAACAAGAGGGCUUUAAAGAUAAGAAGGAGAGUGCAGGAAAUGACACAAUGGUGACAGAUAAAACUGCAAUGAAUGCUGUUAUCAAAACUUGGCGAGAUGGGCCAUAUAUAUUUAUUGUGCAAAUUGCACUUAAAACUGCAAAGGUUUCUACUGCCGGGCUUAAAAGAACUGAGAGAACAACGCCUUCCUCAUAUCAGAACAAGCUCUUUACAAUGACAGUAGAACUGAAGGGGCCGUAUGAGUAUCUUUCACUUGCAGACUACCCUCUGAUGAUUUUUUUCAUGGUGAUGUGUAUUGUGUACGUAUUCUUCGGGGUUCUGUGGCUUGCGUGGUCAGCCUGUUACUGGCGGGAUCUCCUGAGGAUCCAGUUCUGGAUUGGUGCUGUUAUCUUCUUGGGAAUGCUUGAGAAAGCCGUUUUCUAUGCCGAGUUCCAGAACAUCCGCUACACGGGCGAGUCCGUUCAAGGAGCAGUAAUACUGGCAGAACUUCUUUCUGCUGUGAAGCGCUCCUUGGCUCGAACUCUGGUCAUCAUAGUCAGCCUGGGAUAUGGGAUAGUCAAACCUCGCCUUGGAGUGACUCUUCACAAAGUAGUUAUGGCUGGAGCCCUUUAUCUGUUAUUUUCUGGCAUGGAAGGUGUUCUUAGAGUCACAGGGGCCCAGAAUGAUCUUGCCUCCUUGGCUUUUAUUCCCCUGGCUUUCCUAGAUACUGCCCUGUGCUGGUGGAUAUUCAUCAGCUUAACUCAAACAAUGAAGCUGCUAAAACUUCGAAGGAAUGUUGUGAAACUCUCUUUGUAUCGGCACUUCACCAACACACUCAUCUUGGCAGUAGCAGCAUCCAUUGUAUUCAUCAUCUGGACAACCAUGAAGUUCAGGCUGGUGGACUGUCAGUCGGACUGGCAAGAGCUAUGGGUGGAUGAUGCCAUCUGGCGUUUAUUGUUUUCAAUGAUCCUUUUUGUCAUCAUGAUUCUGUGGAGACCAUCUGCUAACAACCAAAGGUUUGCUUUCUCACCACUGUCAGAAGAGGAGGAUGAUGAUGAGCAGAAAGAGCCAAUGUUAAAAGAAAGCUUUGAGGGAAUGAAAAUGAGAAGUACAAAGCAAGAACCAAAUGGCAAUGUAAAAGCAAACAAAGUUCAGGAGGAUGACCUGAAGUGGGUAGAGGAGAAUGUUCCUUCAUCAGUGACAGAUGUGGCUCUUCCAGCUCUUCUGGAUUCAGAUGAGGUCAGUAAAGAAAUCUUCAGUUCAAAUUAGCCUUCUAACAUGCCAGGGAGUCAUGAGUCAGUUGAUAAGGUCUUGGCUUAUCAGAACUGGACACUGCUCAAGUCAACAGAACAGUAAAAUACUACAAGAGGGGAAGGAUAGUGGGAACAACCAUGAUACAACUUCUUAAAGUACAAAUGUGUUCUAAAAUGAGUGGUGUAUCUGGAAAGAAUGAUUACCCACUUUGAAAGGUCCAAAAUGGAAUGAAGGAGUAACUUUUUGCUCUUGGACGUGGAGACACCUCUUUUAAAGUUGCUUGGUGGAGCAAGUUCAUCCUGCUGAUUUGUCUCUUGAUCUCAGCCUUGAAAGUUUGAUGCUUUAAUGUCAUGGAGGGUGUCUUGCUGUGGAAGAAGUUCACAAGGACAUUAUAAACCUUUUGGAAAUUUGAAUUUAAAGUUGCUGCAAGUUUGGAUUUUUAAGCAAUUGACGUGUACUAUUCCAGCACCUUCUGUAACUUUUCAAAUAUUUAAUCUGUGAAACUAAAAUUCCUAAUGUCUGCUUGAGGAGUUUAUAUUUUGAUGUUACAAUUGACACUUAGAGGUGAACUGCCUGUACCUUUUUGGGGGGAGGGUGGGGACAGAUAGAAAUAAGCACUGAAGAAACAACAGACCCAUUUUCUGGUAGAUAACAGCUGCUGUUGUAUGUCAUGUGUUCAACAUGCAUGAAAGAGUUUUAGAGAGAAGCUCCUGUUGAUGAAGAAAAUGAAGAUGCCAGAAAGGGAAUAUUUGGAAAAGUUACGGUAAUAUGAGUUUUUAACAAAAUCAAGUGCAAUUUUAUUCAUAACACUGUGUAUGAAAGAUUUUCUAUUUUAAAUGCCAUUGACCUGUAGGUAGCAGCUGCCUAGAGCUAACACUUGCUGCUGUGGCACAUCUCAUUGCCGGCAAUGUGGUGGAUGCCUGGAAAAACGAUUUGCCCCUACCUUUCAUGUGUUGCAUGAUAUAAUUUAAAAAAAUAUCCCAACAAAUAAAACAACAAAAGCAAACAUCACCAGAACCACUCCUGCAGUGCUCCACAAGUGCUUGACUACAUGUUAAGCAGACAUUAACUGGAUGUUUCAGCAGAACUCUUCUCCCUUUCUGUGUAACAUCUCCCACCAAGAAGUUGGCACUUUUCUAUGAGAAGAUGGUGAGCACUGCCUGCCUUACUUGAAAGAGGAUUUAUGGGGAGUCCACAGUGCUGGGAUAGUUCUGUUCCUGGUGUCUGUUUAGAAUUCCUUCCUCUGUAAGUGAUUUGAUGCUGGGCUUUCCUGUCCCAGCUGGUCCCUGUGGCCAAGAGGUACUCUGAGAUCACUGUGUUUCAGUCAAAGUUGCAGGUUUCUGUUCUAUGUAAUUGCAUUUUGUUUCUCCUUUUUAAAUGAAGAAGAGCUUUUGGACAAUGUUCCGGUUUUUGCUUGGUUGCAACAGCUGAAGUUGCAAUAACUUCCUCAUGGAAACCUGUUGUGGACUGUGUGACAAAAGCUCUAAUUUGGGUUCAUAACCUUUAGAACUGAUGAUUAGGAGGCAAGCAGCAGCUGGAUAUCUAGGAAGCAGAUGUGGCUGCUGCUGGAACGGCAUAGAGCAUAGAGCAGGUUUUCAGGUUCUUCUCAUAGCUAUGUCAGCAGAAGUGAACACGUGCCUGUACUUCAUUCAUUCCACUGUAAGGUCUGGUAGCUUAGCUGUAGCUCCUCUUUGUCAGCAAUUCAAGCUGAACAUGGCACUUUACAGUAGCUGAGGCACAAGGACACAGCAUCUUCUGCUAGCUGUGUUGUGGGAAGGGCACAUGGGCAGAGAAAUAAAGGUGUGGCUAUAGCACCUCACUGCUUCUGCAAGAGUUGCUGGAGCUCUUCUGCCAUCCUCUUCAGGCCACAGAUAGAAUCUUUAAUUAGAAGACACUUCUAAUUUGCUAUGCUUAAUUGAUAUAGAUGAAAAAAAUAUAACCUCCAUGUCCUUUUGGGGAGAGGAAAUUUUUGUGAAAUAAAGCUACACAAAGCUUGCUAUUUAAUUUUUUUUUGUUUUGUUUUCAUUUUUAAAGAAAUCCUAUUGGUUUGGAUUGUUUGGGUUUUUUGAAACAAAUAGAUAAAAAUGUUCUCUACUGGAAGCACAAAAGUUUGUAUGUACUAUUUAAUAAAGGCUAGGCAAAGAGUAGAAAGGCUAA